GGUAAAUAAAAAGCAAAGACUUGUGGGGUAUAACAAGUGUAUCCUUUCCCUCAUAAGGAAAAGAGGAGUCGCAGGAUAUGGUGAAAAACUGCCAGCUGUCCUUCCUUGUCUGAUACAAAAGAUCAUUUUUCUUCAGCCUAGACCCAGCGAGGUGUCAGGUAGUACUAUUAUCAGAAAUGUAAUGAUUUGGAGCUAUAAAUGAUGGAAGAUUUAUGUACAGGUACAGUAUCUUUUUUAAAAAGUAAUCUCAUAUAAUCUGAGAAAUUGAAAGCUUU
rnacentral:lncRNA from 1 species